rnacentral:rRNA from 1 species
UACGUAGGGUGCGAGCGUUAAUCGGAAUUACUGGGCGUAAAGCGUGCGCAGGCGGUUUUGUAAGCCAGAUGUGAAAUCCCCGGGCUUAACCUGGGAAUGGCAUUUGGGACUGCAAGGCUUGAGUGCGGCAGAGGGAAGACUGGAAUUCCUGGUGUAGCAGUGAAAUGCGUAGAUAUCAGGAGGAAUACCGAUGGCGAAGGCAGGU